AAUCAACGCUGGCGGCGCGCCUAAUACAUGCAAGUCGAGCGAGAAGACGUAGCAAUACGUUUGUAAAGCGGCGAACGGGUGAGGAAUACAUGGGUAACCUACCCUCGAGUGGGGAAUAACUAGCCGAAAGGUUAGCUAAUACCGCGUACGCUCCUUGGACUUCGGUUCAGGGAGGAAAGCGAUACCGUGGGUAUCGCGCUCUUGGUUGGGCUCAUGUCCUAUCAGCUUGUUGGUGAGGAACGGCUCACCAAGGCUUCGACGGGUAGCUGGUCUGAGAGGACGAUCAGCCACACUGGCACUGCGACACGGGCCAGACUCCUACGGGAGGCAGCAGUAAGGAAUAUUGCGCAAUGGGCGAAAGCCUGACGCAGCGACGCCGCGUGGGGGAUGAAGGUCUUCGGAUUUGUAAACCCCUUUCGGGAGGGAAGAUGGAACGAGCAAUCGUUCGGACGGUACCUCCAGAAGCAGCCACGGC
rnacentral:rRNA from 1 species